rnacentral:lncRNA from 1 species
UUUUCUAGGCAGUAUUUUCACUGAAAAACAUUGUUUUCCUUAAAGAUGCAUAUAGAAAGAGAUAAUAUUUUAAUAUAUAACAGAACAUUUGAAGGGAGUGUUAUAGUGGAAAUAGACUUCAUACAAAACACAAUUGAUAAAAUUACAUAUUAUAUAGAUCGUGUGUGUGUGUGGUGUAUCUAUAUCACAUAGGGUAUAUGCAAUUGAUAUAAAUAUACACAUUAAUAUAUAUAACAUAAAUGUAGAUUCAUACAUAUAUUGUAUAAGGAUAUUUAAAUAGCAUUAUACAUAUAUAUUACAUCUACAGAGAUGCUCAACUCUAGCGACUGUAAGUACAUUAUUUCUAGUCAGAACUUGCUUGUGACAAAUUAAGUGUAGGAUAAGCCAUGAUAAAAGUAUGGAUAAGUGAAAAAAAAAAGUACGGAUAAAUGAGAUAUUUUAUGAGAACAAAAAUAUCCAGCAAGUAUAAAUUGAUAUUAAUCAGCAAAUUUAGUUACGUUAGUAGACAAUGUGUAUCCUUUGAAAUUACAUCUUUACUAAUCAAUGUCACCGGCAGGUCCAGCUUCAUGAAAUGAGACCAGUGUCACAGAGGAAGGGCCCAUGUUUUGGGUUUGAUGCUUUGUGGCUGCUGGUUUGAAAUUUUACAUAAUUUUACCUUUUAAUUUAAGUGAAGACAAGUGGGACAAUAGACUCUUGGCUGCCCCAACACCAGCUGCAUCCCCCUACUCUGAGGAGGGCUUUGGCCCAGGGCAGGGAAGGCUGGGUGCAGGUCUUGAGCACCCACAUGUCCACAGGAUGGGUCUCGGGUGCCUGUGAGUGUCUCACUUGGCCCAUGAUUAUCCCCGAGGGAGUGCAGGAUUAAAUAGUGAAUAUGAAACAUCAGAAAAGGUCAAGGAAGAAGUACUUUUUUCUCCCAUUUAGAAAAAGGGUCCUGGCAUUUUUAUUUUGCACUCAAUCCCACAAAUUCUGUUCCUGGCCCUGGCCACUAGUGAUUAUUAACCUUUCAGAAUGCCCCCUUCUCUUGGUAAUAAAAAGCGAGUUUUGUUUUCUUCUCCCUGGAUGCCAACCUCCAGUGAAUUGCUCAUCCAUGUGAGGGGCUGGAUAUCAGCCAUACUACCAUCAUCUGAAGCAACUGUUCUCUCAUACUGCCCCAAUCUCUUUCAGCUUAAAAUAGAAUUCCAGCACCAGAAGAGUCACCACGGAUUGUUGCACAGCUUGAUGAGCAGGAUCUGAACCUGGAGAUGCCAGGCCACUGAAGUGGAGUGUGCCAACUCAACCCCUACACCACUGGACUGGCCCCUGAAAAUACUCAUCUUUUACUCCUCAAUUUUGUUGUGCUUUAUCUCCUUGGAGUUUGGAUCUUUUCUUGGAAGGAGUCAUUGGAGAUAGACUGCUCUUACUCUAUGCUGAUGUUUGUAAAUGAUGAAUCUGGAUGAGAUUAUAAGAUAUAAAAAGAGCUACUCAACCAAUAAAUUUAAUGGGG